rnacentral:rRNA from 1 species
UGGGGAAUAUUGCACAAUGGGCGCAAGCCUGAUGCAGCCAUGCCGCGUGUAUGAAGAAGGCCUUCGGGCUGUAAAGUACUUUCAGCGGGGAGGAAGGCGAUAAGGUUAAUAACCUUGUCGAUUGACGUUACCCGCAGAAGAAGCACCGGCUAACUCCGUGCCAGCAGCCGCGGUAAUACGGAGGGUGCAAGCGUUAAUCGGAAUUACUGGGCGUAAAGCGCACGCAGGCGGUCUGUCAAGUCGGAUGUGAAAUCCCCGGGCUCAACCUGGGAACUGCAUUCGAAACUGGAAGGCUAGAGUCUUGUAGAGGGGGGUAGAAUUCCAGGUGUAGCGGUGAAAUGCGUAGAGAUCUGGAGGAAUACCGGUGGCGAAGGCGGCCCCCUGGACAAAGACUGACGCUCAGGUGCGAAAGCGUGGGGAGCAAACA